rnacentral:rRNA from 1 species
UACGUAGGGGGCAAGCGUUGUCCGGAAUUAUUGGGCGUAAAGAGCGCGUAGGCGGUCCGGUAAGUCGGUUGUGAAAGUCGGGGGCUCAACCCUCGGAUGCCGAUCGAUACUGUCGGGCUAGAGUCCGGAAGAGGCGAGUGGAAUUCCUGGUGUAGCGGUGAAAUGCGCAGAUAUCAGGAGGAACACCAAUGGCGAAGGCAGCUCGCUGGGACGGUACUGACGCUGAGGAGCGAAAGCGUGGGGAGCAAACAGG